rnacentral:rRNA from 1 species
GAGCCGAUGAAGGACGGGACUAACACCGAUAUGCUUCGGGGAGCGGUAAGUACGCUUUGAUCCGGAGAUUUCCGAAUGGGGCAACCCAAUCAGCUUAGUCGCUGAUUACUUGACUAGUGAAUACAUAGCUAGCAAGAGGUAGACGCAGUGAACUGAAACAUCUUAGUAGCUGCAGGAAGAGAAAGAAACAUCGAUUCCCUGAGUAGCGGCGAGCGAAAAGGGAAGAGCCCAAACCAACAAGCUUGCUUGUUGGGGUUGUAGGACUGAACA